rnacentral:rRNA from 1 species
UGGCGGACGGGUGAGUAAUGUCUGGGAAACUGCCUGAUGGAGGGGGAUAACUACUGGAAACGGUAGCUAAUACCGCAUAACGUCGCAAGACCAAAGAGGGGGACCUUCGGGCCUCUUGCCAUCGGAUGUGCCCAGAUGGGAUUAGCUAGUAGGUGGGGUAACGGCUCACCUAGGCGACGAUCCCUAGCUGGUCUGAGAGGAUGACCUGCCACACUGGAACUGAGACACGGUCCAGACUCCUACGGGAGGCAGCAUG